rnacentral:rRNA from 1 species
CAGCCGUAAACUAUGCGCGUUAGGUGUAUCGGUGACCACGAGUCACCGAGGUGCCGAAGGGAAACCGUGAAACGUGCCGCCUGGGAAGUACGGUCGCAAGGCUGAAACUUAAAGGAAUUGGCGGGGGAGCACAACAACGGGUGGAGCCUGCGGUUUAAUUGGACUCAACGCCGGACAACUUACCGGGGACGACAGCAAUAUGUAGGCCAGGCUGAAGACCUUGCCUGAAUCGCUGAGAGGAGGUGCAUGGCGUAGACGUCU